GGUUCUAUGGUGUAAUGGUUAGCACUCUGGACUUUGAAGUCCAGCGAUCCGAGUUCAAAUCUCGGUAGAACCU
rnacentral:tRNA from 1 species